ACAACGGCUCCUGGUAUUCAAUGUUAUCACUACUGCCACACUAUUGGAUAUGUGUGUGUUGGGUUUUGAAAUCUGUGGGUAAUUGUUGAUUUAAUGCUGCACGCUAAGGACGUACAAGGACAUUAAGAAUAUUUCUGGGAUAUUGAGGGUUCUUUCUGCACUCUGCCUUUUUCUACGUGCAGUAAAGUCCAUUUACCGCACGCAAGGGUGUAAAACAUUCGGCACUCGUUGGAAAAGUGCUCGUUUAUCAAUGAGAAGGUAGGUAGGGUACUCGAUGAUGGAGACUUGUGCAUAUUCGAACGAGGAGUGAAUCAGGCUGGACACGGCUUUUCAAGCGCAAUGAGAGUGUGUUACACCACAUUUUUUCCCUCUUUGAAGUCAAUUCUUGCUGAGUGAGUUCCGAGAAGCGACUUGCACAAUUGGAAUUGUUGAAGGGGAGAGAAUGAGGGGGUGAAGUGGAAGGGACUGCCCUCAGCGCAAAAAUGCAUUUGUUAAUUAUCUACAUUCCCGAGCUCUGGAUUUAAUAAAGUUUCACGUAUUUGUCAUAAUAUACUUAUCGCAAGUACUCGGUACACAAUUACACUCGGUACAUAAGUCUUUACCGAACCUCUAGAAUCUAAAAUAACGAAAAUUACCACCGGAAUUUAUCCAAAUGCACCCC